CGAAUCUUCCGCAAUGCACGAAAGUGUGACGGAGCAAUGCCGCGUGUGGGAUGAAUCGGCUUCGCCGUGUAAACCACUGUCAGAAUCUAGGAAGAACUGACCAGAUUCAAAGGAAGGGCCGGCUAAUCUCGUGCCAGCAGCCGCGGUAAUACGAGAGGCCCGAGCGUUAGGCGGAAUCACUGGGCUGAAAGGGUGCGUAGGCGGAUCGGCAGGCGUCUUGUGAAAUCCCCGGGCUCAACCCGGGAAUCGCAGGGCGAACCGCCGGUCUUGAGGCAGGUAUGGGUCGCUGGAACGUUCGGUGGAGCGGUGAAAUGCGUAGAUAUCGAACGGAACGCCAGAGGUGAAGACGAGCGACUGGGCCUGAUCUGACGCUGAGGCACGAAAGCGUGGGGAGCAAA
rnacentral:rRNA from 1 species